rnacentral:lncRNA from 1 species
UAAUUUACAUUUCUAGAAAACAAGCUCUUUAUGGUAAGUAGAAAUAUUCCUGUCAUACAGUGGCAUUUCAGAGAGGGAUAAAAACCUUAUAUAUGAAACUUUCACUAAUAACCUGAAACAUCACCACAGAGACAGUCGGGUUAUCCUGUUUGUUUAGACAUCCACUUAUUCACUUGCAAUGCAGGAAAUAUAUUUGGAAAAAAACAAAAAACAAAACAUGAUCAGUUACUUGAUGCAAUCAUGAGAUGUGCUCCAGAAAAACUUAUUAAGGAAUUAUUUCAUCAGAGUCAGUCUCUCUCAACAAGAUUUACAGGCCAGUUGUUGACAUUGUAGUAUCCUCUCUUUGAAUACUGGAAUGGAGCAACUUCAAACAGUCAGUGGACCAAGGUCUUCAUGCUUCAAAUAAACCUGCAUCAAAGAAACCUGGCUAGAAGACAGAGAUCAUACUUUAUUCCCCCACAAAAGGAUUAUGUUUAGAUUUAAUGUUGAUGCCUCAGUUAAGUGCUCACUUUGAAAAUCAAUACAACAUUGUGUGCUUGGUUGGCUCAAUACCUCUCAGUCAACAUUAAUAAAAAAACAGCAACAAA